AGCGUAUAUUAAAGUUGUUGCAGUUAAAAAGCUCGUAGUUGAAUUUCGGGAUCAAUACGUCGGUCGUGCUUCGGUACGUACUGGCGUCNUUGAUUUCUCCCUUCUGACGAACCAUGAUGUCAUUAACUUGGUGUCAUGGGAAAUCAGGACUGUUACUUUGAAAAAAUUAGAGUGUUUAAAGCAGGCUUAGGCUUGAAUACAUUAGCAUGGAAUAAUGAAAUAGGACGUUCGAACCUAUUUUGUUGGUUUCUAGGAUCGACGUAAUGAUUAAUAGGGAUAGUUGGGGGCAUUAGUAUUCAAUUGUCAGAGGUGAAAUUCUUGGAUUUAUUGAAGACUAACUACUGCGAAAGCAUUUGCCAAGGAUGUUUUCAUUAAUCAAGAACGAAAGUUAGGGGAUCGAAGACGAUCAGAUACCGUCGUAGUCUUAACCAUAAACUAUGCCGACUAGGGAUCGGAUGAUGUUAAUUUUUUAAUGACUCAUUC
rnacentral:rRNA from 1 species